rnacentral:piRNA from 1 species
UGGGACUCAAACACAAGUGUUAG